ACACUUGAUCUAUUUUGCAUGAUAUAUUUCUGUCCUCCUGUACGGCCAGUCUCCUCUUCACUGUACUCUGUGUAAGCUGCAUAUGAUGUGCUUGGGUGGUUUCUGGCAGACUGGACGCUCCAACCUUUGUAAACCGAUAUCUAACCAUGUGUCGACCAUGUCAAAUUAACUGCUUUAAAACAUAACCUCUGCAGCUAUGGUAAUACAGUACGUCGACAGUUUACCCGUUUAUCCACGGUCUUUCUUUACUUUGAAAUUUGAUAAGAACAAGUCUGUUUUUUUAAAUCAUAUUGAAGAUUAAAUUUUAUUCCUUCAAUGCGAGUUGUAUGAGUUCAAUCCAAUUUCUGGACAUUUUGUAAUUUCGAUUUUGAAAGAAACCUGACUUGUGAAAGUAUCCUUCAGAUCUGCAGUGUGAAACAUCAUGUCAAUGCACAAUGCUUUUCUUGAAAUUUUGUUUCAAUCACAGCAAUACGUUACCCUCAGUCUCCCCUUGGUUUUUAUUGCCUCUUCUAUAGUCACAAACUCCUAUGUUGUAUGAUAUGUGUGCUCCAUAUUCAACCUCAGGCGUAGUGGAAAGCUACGCGUUGUGAGACCCUGAUUUACCACCACUUUGAGCUUGUCACUCUCUGUCCCUCCCCCACCCCACCACUCUACACCACCUUCUCAGUGUGAACAUGCAUUCCCCGACCCCCACAAUGAACUCACCUACUUGCCUCCCCACCCACCCACAACAUCUCGUGAGCUACACAGGAAUCGAUUGAACAUAUAAUGAAUGCCAGUACCUGCUAUUUAUACAAAAACAUUCUCAUAAAGUUGCAAAGUUUAGUUGUUUAUUUUCAGUGUUUAGUUAUUCAGUACUUCUAUUCCAUUAUAUAUAAUGUACCAUGUCCCUGUUAUUUUGGAUUUUAUGGUUGGAUUACUUAAUUACAGUAGGUUGGGAUUCUAGGGCAGAAGUUCCAAAGUACCCCAAGUAUUCUUUAUUGAUUCCUCGGCAAAAUAGGUCCCCAGAACCCCAAGUAUUCUAGUAUGAAUUUCAGGACAAAAUAGGUCCCCAGAACCCCAAGUAUUCUAGUAUGAAUUUCAGGACAAAAUAGGUCCCCAGAACCCCAAGUAUUCUAGUAUGGAUUCCAGGACAAAAUAGGUCCCCAGAACCCCAAGUAUUCUAGUAUGGAUUCCAGGACAAAAUGGGUCCCCAGAACCCCAAGUAUUCUAGUAUGGAUUCCAGGACAAAAUGGGUCCCCAGAACCCCAAGUAUUCUAGUAUGGAUUCCAGGACAAAAUAGGUCCCCAGAACCCCAAGUAUUCUAGUAUGGAUUCCAGGACAAAAUAGGUCCCCAGAACCCCAGUAUUCUACCCCAAGUAUUCUAGUAUGGAUUUCAGGACAAAGUAGGUCCCCAUACCCCAGAUAGUAGACAGAGUAGGUCCACAGUACCCCAGAUAGUAGACAGAGUAGGUCCACAGUACCCCAGAUAGUAGACAGAGUAGGUCCACAGUGCCCCAGAUAGUAGACAGAGUAGGUCCACAGUACCCCAGAUAGUAGACAGAGUAGGUCCACAGUACCCCAGAUAGUAGACAGAGUAGGUCCACAGUACCCCAGAUAGUAGACAGAGUAGGUCCACAGUACCCCAGAUAGUAGACAGAGUAGGUCCACAGUACCCCAGAUAGUAGACAGAGUAGGUCCCAGUACCCCAGAUAGUAGACAGAGUAGGUCCACAGUACCCCAGAUAGUAGACAGAGUAGGUCCCAGUACCCCAGAUAGUAGACAGAGUAGGUCCACUGCAAGGAUCAGGUGGGAGCCAUGUGAAAGCUGACUGAAUGUGUGGUAUGAUGGCCAAAUAGGUCAUGCCAUCAACCUGCAGCUGAUCUUAUGAUUGACUGCAGGUUGAAUCUAGGUUGAAUAUGGAGAUACCACAGCAGCUGUUCAUGCAUAAACAUAUCAAGUUCUUUUGAUGUUUGUAAUCAUAAAAGAAAAAAUAUAUAUUAUGAAAUAUCUGAAAGUGUUCAUUUUUUAAAAAUAAUGAACAACAUGUUCAUGGUAAACAAUAUAGAUUUGUGAACUUUUUGGCUUCACCAUGUAACUGUUUUAAUGUUUAUUUAUCAAUUGUGUGUUCAGUAAACCUGUUAUUUUUUUGCCCAGAUUUGUUUUGUGGUUUGUAUUCCCUUGCAGGACUAGUUACCAUAGAGCCCAGACAGUUUCACAUUUUCCAAGUUUCUGUUUGGCAGUGCUCGUACCUUUAUGUUAUUGAAAUGUUCCCACUGUUUUUGCCAAUAGACCCUGAUUUCUUGACAGAAAUGUGUUACAACUGAAUAAUUAAAAUACCCCUUUUUAUUUUUAUAAUUAUAUUAUGCAUGUAAUGCAUGUUUUAUUUCAGGGAUGUGCAGUAUAUUUUGAUAUGACUACAUGUGUGUAUCCACUCUGUAUAUUGUGUAUACUGGCAUGAAGAUGCAUAUACCAGCACAGUUUAUGUGAAAGCUAAAUUUGCAUUUCCAAAUAUUUUACCUGUCAUAGUUGGAUAUGGAAGUUAAUCUGAUCCCCUGCUUCAUACAUCUUGUUUGCUUCUGGUUUUUGUAUUGUUAAAUGGAUUUUAACUUUCUUUGACUAUUGUUUACUGUUGUUUUGUUGUAUUUCUUCAUAAUUUAUUUUUGUACUUGUUGUUUGAAAUUGUAUUGUGUCUCUUGAUGCUUGAUUUUCAAAUAUUUGAAUAUGUAUGGUUGUUGAAUCUUGUAACCUGAUCCUGUGUUAGAGUAAUAUUGUUUAACGCAUCAAUGCUGAUAUCCGAUGUGGUAGGGUGUGAGUGCUACAGUUUGACCUGACUUCCUG